AUGGUGCAAAUUGGAAAUCAUGCAAGUUGGUGCAAGUAUGAAGCAAUUCGAUAUGACCGAGCCUACUGUAGCUACCGUAAUCUUGCAACUUUGAAGUCAAGAGAACAUGUGGAUAAUUUCUUGAUUUUGUGCGUUUGUCGUUAUCUGUUCAAACGAGCUCACCCGUCAGUAUCAAGGAAACAUUUCUUCUUCUUCUCUUAUAUUGGGGAAACCAUCCUGAGAGGUACUAAUGUUGAUAUUGUAGGCAAUGCUUUUACUGGUGCUAACAGUGCUUUCCCAAUGUGGAGAAGUAAUCUGUUAUUCUUUCCUAUUGGACGGGAGAAACACUGGUUUACCUUUGUUGUUUGCUUGAAGGAGAGGGCUUUUGCAUUUCUUGAUUCUCUAUACGGGGCAAAGGAUCAUUUUCAUCUGGGAAUUCGUGGUAAAUUGAUUGAAAAUUUCAUAACAAUCUCGGAUCAGUAUGUGACUCCUAUCCUGCGUAAUCGUAUCGACUUUGAGAAUUUUGACAUUGUUUACCCUACUGUUCCACGGCAAAAUAAUUGGGAUGAUUGUGGUGUUUUCACUAUCAUGUAUCUGAAGCACUGGACUCCUAGGACCCCAAUUGGCAAUAUUUUUGGCGCAUCCGAUGUUGACAACAUAAGAAUCAGAUUGGCAAAUGAGUUGUAUUUCAAUGAAUUCAUCAGUGUCGACAAGACAUUUGUUACCCACUUCUUUGAUGAUGCCAAGGCUUAG
rnacentral:rRNA from 1 species